GAUGAACGCUGGCGGCGUGCCUAACACAUGCAAGUCGAACGGAGUCCAGCCUUUAAGACCUUCGGGUCAAAGAGGGGAAGACUGAGUGGCGGACGGGUGAGUAACACGUGGGCAACCUGGCUCAUAGAGGGGGAUAACAGAGAGAAAUUUCUGCUAAUACCGCAUAAGCACACACUGCCGCAUGGCAGAGGGUGAAAAGAGAAUCGCUAUGAGAUGGGCCCGCGUCUGAUUAGCCAGUUGGCAGGGUAAGAGCCUACCAAAGCGACGAUCAGUAGCCGAUCUGAGAGGAUGAACGGCCACAUUGGGACUGAGACACGGCCCAAACUCCUACGGGAGGCAGCAGUGGGGGAUAUUGCACAAUGGGGGGAACCCUGAUGCAGCGACGCCGCGUGAGUGAAGAAGUAUUUCGGUAUGUAAAGCUCUAUCAGCAGGGAAGAUAAUGACAGUACCUGAAUAAGAAGCCCCGGCUAACUACGUG
rnacentral:rRNA from 1 species